rnacentral:rRNA from 1 species
GACGAACGCUGGCGGCGUGCCUAAUACAUGCAAGUUGAGCGAUGAAGAUUGGUGCUUGCACCAAUUUGAAGAGCAGCGAACGGGUGAGUAACGCGUGGGGAAUCUGCCUUUGAGCGGGGGACAACAUUUGGAAACGAAUGCUAAUACCGCAUAAUAACUUUAAACAUAAGUUUUAAGUUUGAAAGAUGCAAUUGCAUCACUCAAAGAUGAUCCCGCGCUGUAUUAGCUAGUUGGUGAGGUAAAGGCUCACCAAGGAGAAGAUACAUAGCCGACCUGAGAGGGGGAACGGCCACAUUGGGAAUGAGACACGGCCCAAACCCCUACGGGAGGCAGCAGUAGGGAAUCUUCGGCAAUGGGCGGAAGUCUGACCGAGCAACGCCGCGUGAGUGGAGAAGGUUGUCGGGUCGGAAAACUCUGUUGGUAGAGAAGAACGUUGGUGAGAGUGGAAAGCUCAUCAAGUGACGGUAACUACACAGAAAGGGACGGCUAACUACGUG